GGGACAUUCUCUCCGUGUGACUUUAUGCAUACAUGUAAAUGUUAAGAAAUAGAGCAUGCAAGAAACAUCUUUGAAGAAAUCAUGCAAGAUAGAGCAUAUAUCGCUAUAUUUAUCACCGGCAUCCUUGAAGCCUCUGUCUCUUUUGGACUUGGUUGUCUCUUCAUGGGUUUACAGUCAUCUCUGCUCUAUCGUAACACUCAACCAAUAAUUUAUUGCAACACAAAUUCACCUAUUUUUCUUUUGCAUGAAUAUAUACAUAAUUGACAUACUCUUGUUGACAUCAAGUGUAUCCUCUAAAAGACACAUACAAGCACAAAUAGUGCUUAGAUCAAUAUUAUCAUCUUCGGUUUAUGUGAAAAUUUAACAUAUUUUUAUUCUUUUCUUUUUAUUGAUAUCUAGUUGAGAAAUUAUGCAUUCGGGUCAUCAUCAAAAUUGAGAACAGAAUGAGUUGAAACAGUAAUCAGAAUGAUUAUAUUCUCCAACAUAAUUAACUUGUGGCUAUAAUUGGAAUA
rnacentral:lncRNA from 1 species